UACGUAGGGGGCAAGCGUUAUCCGGAUUUACUGGGUGUAAAGGGAGCGUAGACGGCAGGGCAAGUCUGGAGUGAAAGCCCGGGGCUCAACUCCGGGACUGCUUUUGAAACUGUGUGACUGGAGUGCAGGAGAGGUAAGCGGAAUUCCUGGUGUAGCGGUGAAGUGCGUAGAUAUCAGGAGGAACACCAGUGGCGAAGGCGGCUUUCUGGACUGAAACUGACGCUGAGGCACGAAAGCGUGGGGAGCGAACAGG
rnacentral:rRNA from 1 species